GUGAGUCAUCGAAUCUUUGAACGCAUAUUGCGCCCGCCAGUACUCUGGCGGGCAUGCCUGUUCGAGCGUCAUUUCACCCCUCGGGCCCUAGCUGGCCUGGCGUUGGGGCGCUGCGGCCUCGCCCGCAGGCCCUCAAAUCUAGCGGCGGACCCGCCCGGCCCUGAGCGUAGUAAUUAGAAACCUCGCUCCGGCGGCACGUGGCGCGGCCCUGCUCGGCCCACUCAACGGCGUUGCGAAGCGCCGUCCACCGUUGACCUCGGAUCAGGUAGGACUACCCGCUGAACUUAAGCAUAUCAAUAAGCGGAGGA
rnacentral:misc_RNA from 1 species